UCAAUAGGAUUGUGCUUCGUUGC
rnacentral:siRNA from 1 species